GGUUGAGCGGCGUCAAGCCGUUUUCAAGAAACAGCUUCUUGGGUGGGAAGUC
rnacentral:ncRNA from 12 species